GCCGUCAUAGUUCCAUCUAACACAUCGGUUUUCCAUUCUUGCUUAGAGAACCCAAAAUCGCCGUAUCAGCUACAAAUAAGUUCUUUCUUUUCGAUCUUCGUAUGUUUUGACCGACUAAUGAAUCUCUGCUAUGAAGGUGUGUCUGUGUGGGAGACUUUACUGUUAUAAGAUACCAUGGCGAUUAUCUUUGUCUUCUUGUUGGAAUCGGUGUUCUCGGAAUUUUAGACUUGCAUUAUACAUCAUGGAGGGGUCUGCGAAAUGCGGAAGGCAUUCCCACAUGUGCUGAUGAUCGACGCAACCUACAAAACAAACAUGUACAAUCUUUAAUUUGUGCAAGUUGUGGGUAUGACGUCGACAAAGCAUACCUUUUGUGUUGCGCAUGCCUUUCUUUCAAAUGAGCAGGAAACGUGUGACAAACAGCACAAUCUGGGCAUACAAAAGUUAAGGGUCCAUAUUUCAAAGGUGCUACAAAAAGGGUGGAAGUGAGCACGACGGUGAACAUGAGCCAACCGAGACAACCUAUUGACGCGAGCCUGGGUUUGCGUGGAUCUAGUUGCGGUUCGGGUUCAUCACAUGUGAUAUAUCCAGAUAUUCAGACGGUAUCCCAAUGUGAAUUGUUAUAUACAUUCAGUAAGAGGAGUGGUGAUACACCUAUAACCGUUGGUCAAGCAUUUCCUAGUUCUGAUAGAGACUUGGGAAAUGACAUUUCCAUGCACGAACAUUGCGUGAAAGUACAUGUCGAUGAAGUCUAUUCACGAUAUUUGGGAAUUCCGGUCCUUGAUGAGACUUUUGUAGAAGAUAAAAUAAUAGAGAUGGAGGAUACAGUUUUACAAUUUAUUCAAUUGCCAAGGAAGUUAAUAAAGAUAUAUUUGAUUUUGGACGCCCGGUGUGAUUUUAACCCAAGUGUUGAAGCUUAAGAUGCAGCAUUCGCCUGAAGUCCAUGUUCAGUUUGGAAGUAAUGAUGUUUAUUUUGGAAGUAAUGAACUAUAUGAUGAUAAUGUUUUUUAGCCAAUAAUGAUGCACUUAUCAACACAAGAAUGAGUGCGUUUGAAGAGGAUCAAACUCAUCAUGUUGAACCACAAAGGGCUACGGUGGCUGCAGUUCAAAAGCCCAAAAGGAAACAAUCCAACCCGAAAAAACCUAAAGGAAAACAAAGGAACGUCAAAGGCAAUGAAAAACAUGCCUAACCUAAAGUGACAGAUCAGGACAAGUAGACCGAAAAAGUUGAGCUAGGCUUGCAAUUAUUCCAAGUAAGACCCAGAUGGUUCAGGGAUAUGGUAAAGAACACAUCAAUGACGAUUGGAAGGCUCAGCUGACCUUUAAUGUAGAUGAAACUAUGUUUUCUAUGGAGUUGGGUCCAAUACAUGUCGAACCUGAUCAUUGUUAGCACUAAAUAUCAACGGGUAGGUUGAUAUCACUACUAUAUUUUGGUUUACAUCGUAAGUUCUUUAACACUGUAAUCUUUUUUAAAUAUAACUGAAUUUAUUAAGUUUUUCAUAGUUUUUUUGUUUUGUUUUUUUUUUAAGCUACUUGCAUAGAGUGUUAAAGGCUAAAAAAGACAACCGAUGUGCCUUCUUAAACGUGAAUACAAUCAGUGGUCAAAUGUGUAGAGAAAUGAGAGCAGAAGUUGAAGAACACAUUAGGACUAUGGUGCGUUAUCAUCACGAUAAAGAAUUCAUCCUUGCACCUUAUUGUGUAGAUGGACAUUGGACUUUGUUCAUUAUUGUCGUAAAAGAAUACAUUUUAGAUUCACUAUUCAAAGAGGGCAACAAGAAUCCUAGCCACUAUCGUCUUACAAGCGUGUUUGAAAGGGCCUUGCUGCCAAUAAAACCCACAUUUGAUAUGGUUAAUUGCAAUCAACAAGCUGAGACAUUGGAAUGCGGCUAUAUACUUCUUCAAUCUAUGUUCGACUUUCUCAAUGUGUAUCAAAUAGCAAUUUCCUAAAAUGUGGAACGACACGAAAGAGGCUACAGAUGAAGAUAUAGAAAAGACGUUGAAGGAAUUGAUGCCAAUUUUAUUUGACGGGUUGGGUAUUCGUUAGUUUAAAUAUAGUUUGUUUAUGGUUUUGAAUAGAUUAAGUAGUGAAUUGUUAUUUUACCAAUUAAUAUUGCUUUCGGGUUGAAUGUGUAUUGGGUCACUUUUUACUUGUCCGGAUUUGACUACGUUGAAUAUAUAAAAGGAUUGAUUGGAUUUGACGUCUA